GAGGGUAUAGCUCAGUGGUAGAGUAUGUGCUUAGCAUGCAUGAGGUCCUGGGUUCAGUCCCCAAUACCUCCA
rnacentral:tRNA from 1 species